UACCAGCUCUCCGAGUGGUAGGGAUGAUUAUUGGGCUUAAAGCGUCCGUAGCCGGCUUAGCAAGUCUCCUGUUAAAUUCAGCGACCUAAUCGUUGAGCCGCGGGAGAUACUACUAGGCUAGGAGGCGGGAGAGGUCAACGGUACUUCCGGGGUAGGGGUGAAAUCCUAUAAUCCCGGGAGGACCACCAGUGGCGAAGGCUGUUGACUAGAACGCGCUCGACGGUGAGGGACGAAAGCUGGGGGAGCGAACCGGAUUAGAUACCCGGGUAGUCCCAGCUGUAAACGAUGCGAGCUAGGUGUUGGGGUGGCUACGUGCCACUUCAGUGCCGCAGGGAAGCCAUUAAGCUCGCCGCCGUGGGGAGUACGGCCGCAAGGCUAGAAACUUAAAGGAAUUGGGCGGGGGAGCACCACAAGGCGUGAAGCUUGCGGUUC
rnacentral:rRNA from 1 species